CCCUUAGAUGUUCUGGGCCGCACGCGUGCUACACUGAGUGGAUCAGCGGGUCAGGUUGCGCGAAAGUGUUUCCUAAUCUUUAAAUCCGCUCGUGAUGGGGAUUGACGGUUGCAAUUUUCCGUCAUGAACGAGGAAUACCUUGUAAGCGCGGGUCAUCAUCCCGCGCUGAAUACGUCCCUGCCCUUUGUACACACCGCCCGUCGCUCCUACCGAUUGAGUGGUCCGGUGAGGCUUUGGGAUCUGGGCGGAAAGAGCGUUUCGCUGUUUCUGCCCGGAAAACUCAGUCGAACCUUAUCGUUUAGAGGAAGGAGAAGUCGUAACA
rnacentral:rRNA from 1 species